rnacentral:rRNA from 1 species
CAGUCGCCACGGUAAUACGUAGGGGGCGAGCGUUGUCCGAGGUUACUGGGCGUAAAGAGCGCGUAGGCCGGUCUUUAAGUGAGUGGUGAAAGGUUCGGGCUCAACCCGGACACUGCCUUUCAUACUGGGGACCUUGAGUGUGGGAGAGGCGAGUGGAAUGGUCGGUGUAGCGGUGAAAUGCGUAGAUAUCGAUCGGAACACCCAUGGCGAAGGCAGCUCGCUGGCCUAACACUGACGCUGAGGCGCGAAAGCGUGGGGAGCAAACAGGAUUAGAUACCCCGGUAGUCCCUGUCUCUUAUAC